GCCGCGUUGGCCUAAUGGUAGGGCGUCGCUUUCCUACUACGUUUAUUGCGUAAUAAUGAGGCGAAGCUUAUGGGUUCGAUCCCCAUACGCGGUA